rnacentral:tRNA from 1 species
GCGCGGGUGGCGAAAUUGGUAGACGCGCUGGAUUUAGGUUCCAGUGCCGAAAGGUAUGCGGGUUCGACUCCCGCCCCGCGCACCA